UGCAGUCGAACGAACCUUCGGGUUAGUGGCGGACGGGUGAGUAACGCGUGGGAAUCUGCCCUCAGGAGGGGGAUAACGGCUGGAAACGGCCGCUAAUACCCCAUAUGCCGAGAGGUGAAAUGAAUUUCGCCUGAGGAUGAGCCCGCGUCUGAUUAGCUAGUUGGUGAGGUAAGAGCUCACCAAGGCAUCGAUCAGUAGCUGGUCUGAGAGGAUGAUCAGCCACACUGGGACUGAGACACGGCCCAGACUCCUACGGGAGGCAGCAGUGGGGAAUUUUCCGCAAUGGGCGAAAGCCUGACGGAGCAACGCCGCGUGAGGGAUGAAGGCCUCUGGGCUGUAAACCUCUUUUCUCAAGGAAGAAGAUCUGACGGUACUUGAGGAAUAAGCCACGGCUAAUUCCGUGCCAGCAGCCGCGGUAAUACGGGAGUGGCAAGCGUUAUCCGGAAUUAUUGGGCGUAAAGCGUCCGCAGGCGGCCCUUCAAGUCUGCUGUUAAAACGUGGAGCUUAACUCCAUCAUGGCAGUGGAAACUGUUGGGCUUGAGUGUGGUAGGGGCAGAGGGAAUUCCCGGUGUAGCGGUGAAAUGCGUAGAUAUCGGGAAGAACACCAGUGGCGAAGGCGCUCUGCUGGGCUAUAACUGACGCUCAUGGACGAAAGCCAGGGGAGCGAAAGGGAUUAGAUACCCCUGUAGUCCUGGCCGUAAACGAUGAACACUAGGUGUCGGGGGGAAUCGACCCCCUCGGUGUCGUAGCCAACGCGUUAAGUGUUCCGCCUGGGGAGUACGCACGCAAGUGUGAAACUCAAAGGAAUUGACGGGGGCCCGCACAGCGGUGGGAGUAAAUUUGGUUUAAUUCGAUGCAACGCGAAGAACCUUACCAGGGUUUGACAUCCUGCGAACCUCUUGGAAACGAGAGGGUGCCUUCGGGAGCGCAGUG
rnacentral:rRNA from 1 species